CGCCAGAUAGCUCGGUUGAGCACCAGACUCUGGUACAGAUUCAGGGAGCCCAGGUUCAAAUCCUGGUCUGGUUU
rnacentral:tRNA from 1 species